AUUGAACGCUGGUGGCAGGCUUAACACAUGCAAGUCGAACGGUAACAUAAAGAAGCUUGCUUCUUUGAUGACGAGUGGCGGACGGGUGAGUAAUGCUUGGGAAUCUGGCUUAUGGAGGGGGAUAACUACGGGAAACUGUAGCUAAUACCGCGUAGAAUCGGGAGAUGAAAGUGUGGGACCUUCGGGCCACAUGCCAUAGGAUGAGCCCAAGUGGGAUUAGGUAGUUGGUGAGGUAAAGGCUCACCAAGCCGACGAUCUCUAGCUGGUCUGAGAGGAUGACCAGCCACACUGGGACUGAGACACGGCCCAGACUCCCACGGGAGGCAGCAGUGGGGAAUAUUGCGCAAUGGGGGCAACCCUGACGCAGCCAUGCCGCGUGAAUGAAGAAGGCCUUCGGGUUGUAAAGUUCUUUCGGUAGCGAGGAAGGCAUUUAGUUUAAUAGACUAGGUGAUUGAC
rnacentral:rRNA from 1 species